rnacentral:rRNA from 1 species
GGGAGUUUUUAACUCAAGUGGCGGACGGGUGAGUAACACGUAAGAAUUUACCUUUAGGAGGGGGAUAACACAUGGAAACAGGUGCUAAUACCCCAUAUGCUUUCGAGUGAAAUGGAUUUUUCCGCCUAGAGAGAAGCUUGCGGCUGAUUAGCUUGUUGGUGAGGUAAUGGCUCACCAAGGCGACGAUCAGUAUCUGGUUUGAGAGGACGAUCAGACACACUGGAACUGAGACACGGUCCAGACUCCUACGGGAGGCAGCAGUGGGGAAUUUUCCGCAAUGGGCGAAAGCCUGACGGAGCAAUACCGCGUGAGGGAUGACGGCCUAUGGGUUGUAAACCUCUUUUUUCAGGGAGGAAUCAAUGACGUGUACCUGAAGAAUAAGCAUCGGCUAACUCCGUGCCAGCAGCCGCGGUAAGACGGAGGAUGCAAGUGUUAUCCGGA